UCGUACUAGAAACUAGGGCUCCCCUUGCCUUCGUUCUAUAUUUGAUUAUGAAAUGCCUUAUUCUAUUUACUUAUAUUUACCAUAUGAAUAUAGCAUUGUCGCUGAAGAAACUCUUUUCGUGGCUCUGUUUCUGAGAGGACAUCAGUAAACCCUCUCCCCAAGCAGCCCUACCUCUUCUAUCAAGGUGCUGAAAGCCAAUCACCGAACCUAGACUUAACUGCUUAACCGCUCCCUAAAGUAGCACUGAAGAACCCCUUCCCUUACAACAGAAUCACCUCUUUAAACUGACACUUUUAGGCAAUAAUCAUCUUCCUUCUUCAGAUAGAAAUCAACGUAAGCCAGAAAUAGUACUUUAUUCUGCCCCUACCUCUUCUUUCACUUGCACCAAUGGAGCUCCCCCAGAUGUGGCUUCUAAGUCUGAUUGAUCUAAGCACAGCAGAUUCUCCUGAUACUGUGGAUUAUCUUACUUGUGUCAACUGCACCACUACUUUACUCGGGAAAGCCUCCACCCACGGAGUCUGGGCCUGUCCUGUCUUCAUUCUCAAUUCCAACUUUGUAAACAUGAAAAUAGAACCUAUUUCUAUACCUUAUUGCUGCUUCCUUUCGCAGUGCUUCUUCUGUUGACUCAUUGCUCUUUCUUCCUGAACCUUUAAGAAGUAAGCUAAGGUGAAAAAGAAGUAAGCUAAGGCUUGAGCUACACCACUAACGCACUUAGGCUUUCGCCGACAAACUACACUCUUUCUUUGCCUUAUAGCCCUUGCUUAUUGAAUAGAAGUACCCGUAUUUAAGAAGAUAAGAUUUAGAGGCAGACAGACUCACCCUUAACUCAACUACUCCGGCACAAGAUGUUGCUUGUUGAAUGGAGUUAGGAACCGUAUACUUAAAUAAAAGGACAGAAGCAGAGGCAGCACCUGUAGAAAGGAAUUGAGGCACAGGAAGCUCCAAUCCAAAGCUAACAGGUGGAACUCCCUAAUGCUAUUGUUCCAGAAGCCCUUUCCAAAUCGAAUAUAUGUCUCUUAGCAAGUUGUGCUCCAGCGGUCCAAUAGUUUACCUUAUUGCGGGAAGCAAGGC
rnacentral:lncRNA from 1 species